rnacentral:rRNA from 1 species
CCCUUAGAUGUUCUGGGCUGCACGCGUGCUACAAUGGCGUUUCCAGCAAGUCUGCGAACCCGAGAGGGCCAGCGGAUCUUCGAAUUGGCGUCGUGAUCGGGACAGUCGAUUGCAAUUAUUUGACUCAAACGAGGAAUUCCUUGUAAUCGCGAUUCAUCAUAUCGCGCUGAAUACGUCCCUGCCCUUUGUACACACCGCCCGUCGCUCCUACCGAUUGAGCGAUCCGGUAAAUGUUUUGGAUUGGUGCCGGGACGGCUAGCUGCCGGUCGCUACGAAAUUUUGUGAACCUUAUCGCUUAGAGGAAGGAAAAGUCGUAACA